CCAACCGUCGCGCCUAAUUUCCUUAAAAUGUAAUAAAUAUCACGACAGUGAACAUACUGUCGCCAUACAUUCACGACGGUGACUAACCGACGCCAACUCAUAUCCUUCAGAUCCGCGACGGUGAUUUCAGCCGUCGUGAUCCAUUAAUUCCUAUGUCGCGCUCAAAAGAGGAAGACUGUGAUAUUCCGCGGUUUUAUGUUUUCACUUGUCUUCUUUUUUCAGCCACUCACGCCGCUCUUCCUCUUGGAGAAUCACCACCGUGAAAUCAUUUCUCUCAGCCACUCACACCGUCACUGUGAAUCACCGUCAAAGCAACAACCAUCAAUUCGAAUACUAACAGUUCAAAUCUCACUCUCUCCGCGUUUACGCAAUGCACAGAUAGCAUCCAGAGCAAGUGGAGUACUUUGAUUCAGCUCGCGCCGCCGUCAAAGCAACCACCACAACAAUUCUUAGCAGGAAUCGAGAGAUGGCCGAACAUACAACAGAGGAGAAAUGUAUGCAGUUUCUCAUACAAAGUCUGACGGAUCUUUUGUCAACGAAGAUGCAUACAACAAUAAUGAAAAAUUACAAGCUGCAAUUAAGGAUUCCGUGUCUGAAAAUGAGGCAUUUCAUAAAGUAUUUGGAAAAGAGCAGCAUGGAUAUGUUCGUAGCAUGGGACUUGGAGUUAGGCCAUCUCAGAUUAAUAGAUCUACGACAUCGGCAUCUUAUGCAGAAAAUGAGAAAAUGAAGGAAAUGCAAGAAGAAAUUAAUGCUUUGAAAGAAAAGAAUUCAUAAAUUGAUGAAUUGAUGGAGGCAAUCGCGUUGUUAACGCAAAGGGACAAUGCUAGGACAAAGGAAAUUGAACUCUUAAUGCAAAUGCAAAAUUCUAGUGGAAGACAGGGAUUGGAAUCAACCGUUGAAGAUAGACGUUCAUCUGAGUCUAGCUACCGUAUUGCAGAUAAUGGAGCAACAAGACGUACAAAUUAGACUUUGCGAUGAAUUAAUUAGAUUAUGAACUUAUGUAUUUUUGGCAUAAUGAUACUUAUUAUUAUAAGAUUAGGAUUUGAUAUGUUUUCGGUUUUUCGUACUAUAUGACAUGAUUAUGGAACUCGCAUUUUACAUGAUAAUGAAACUCACAUUUUUUUUGA